rnacentral:rRNA from 1 species
UGGGGAAUUUUGGACAAUGGGGGCAACCCUGAUCCAGCCAUCCCGCGUGUGCGAUGAAGGCCUUCGGGUUGUAAAGCACUUUUGGCAGGGAAGAAACAGCCUGGGCUAAUAUCCCGGGCGACUGACGGUACCUGCAGAAUAAGCACCGGCUAACUACGUGCCAGCAGCCGCGGUAAUACGUAGGGUGCAAGCGUUAAUCGGAAUUACUGGGCGUAAAGCGUGCGCAGGCGGUUCGGAAAGAAAGGUGUGAAAUCCCAGGGCUUAACCGUGGAGCGGAACUUUUAACUACCGAGCUAGAGUAAGUGAGAGGGGGGGAAAAUUCCACGUGUAGCGUGGAAAUGCGUAGAGAUGUGGAGAAAUACCGAUGGCGAAGGCAGCCCCCGGGGAUGAUACUGACGCUCAUGCACGAAAGC